rnacentral:rRNA from 1 species
UAGUCCACGCCGUAAACGAUGUCAAUUAGCCGUUGGGAGACUUGUUUUCUUAGUGGCGCAGCUAACGCGAUAAAUUGACCGCCUGGGGAGUACGGCCGCAAGGUUAAAACUCAAAUGAAUUGACGGGGGCCCGCACAAGCGGUGGAGCAUGUGGUUUAAUUCGAUGCAACGCGAAGAACCUUACCAGGUCUUGACAUCCUGCGAAUUUUCUAGAGAUAGAUUAGUGCCUUCGGGAACGCAGUGACAGGUGCUGCAUGGCUGUCGUCAGCUCGUGUCGUGAGAUGUUGGGUUAAGUCCCGUAACGAGCGCAACCCUUGUCCUUAGUUGCUAACAUUUAGUUGAGAACUCUAAGGAGACUGCCGGUGACAAACCGGAGAAAGGUGGGGACGACGUCAAGUCAUCAUGGCCCUUACGACCUGGGCUACACACGUGCUACAAUGGGUACUACAGUGGGCAGCAAGGUCGCGAGGCCAAGCUAAUCUCUAAAAGUAUUCUCAGUUCGGAUAGGA